AUGGGGAGUGCACAGGGAAAGAGAGAACACUCUUCCUUUAGGCGGAGGAACAAGAGAAAAGGGCAGGAGGAGAGACAGGAAGUGGGGGUGGGAAGGGGACACGGCAAACAUGGGAAUCCUUGGAGGAAACACAAUCUGUUGGGUGGGGGGAAUGGUGGAGGUCUCGGUGCUCCCACAUCCUACCAGUCCCCCCGUGAGCUGGGCCAUCAGGGACCCACAUUCAAGCCCCAAGAGGCAAGACGGGCAGCAGGUCAGAGCUGGGCCUCCAGAGUGAGCAGUGCCAAGGGCUGCGGGACGCCCACAGGCAUCCCAGGGGCGGGUGCCGGCCUGCUCGCACCCUGGGGACACUCUGAGCCCCGGGCCACCUCCCCAGCACAGUGCAGAGCUGCCGCUUUCAUCCCCACACCUCCAUUUUCUCACGUCUCCAGACAAAGUGACCGCUUAUCCGCUUGGAUUUCAAGCUGUGUGCACAGCCCCGCGCUCACCCCUUCGGCUGGACACGGGCAGGAAGAGGAAUGCGACCAGGCAGCUGCUGGCUUGCCCAGGCUGGAGAGCAAAGCCCUGCUCAGGCCCUUCUCCCAACCCAGGAAUAGACACCUAGACCCAGGCAAAGCCUCUGCUGCCCACAGAACCUUGGAGCAUCCUGCCAGCCAUGGACACAUCCCAGCUGCCUCUGGAGCUCUGCUGGGAAAUGAAACCCUUCUGAUGGUGUGAGGUCCUGGAGGAAGCCAUUCCCUCCUCACCAUCCGUGGCAUCAUCACCUCUCUUUGCCCCCAGGUGGGAUCCAGGAGGCUGUACCCUCACGGGCGAGGCGUGAAGCAGGUGAGUUCACACCAGAGUUGGAACUGUCCUGCAGGUGCAGCUUUCAAACCUGGCAGAGAGAGAUUAGGGCAAAAAAAAAAAAAAACAGAAAGAAGAGAAAACACAAACAUGCCACCUCCACCUUGCAAAGUCCUUGAGUCUCAUCACGAGGGCUGGGAGCAUCUCAUCCCUACGGACCCUGGCUGUGCCCUUUCCCUGGGAAUCAGCUUCUGGGCACAGUGAUGCUCCACCAUGUCCCUCCUCCUGGCUGCCCUCCUCUCCCUGGGAGAUCCCAGUUUUCCAGAGGCUGAGCAAAUUCUGUGGCAUUGCCAGUCUAAAAGCUACUCUGCAAACAACCAUUCCCAGAGGCUGAUAAUUCCCCCGAAUGCAUGUGCAGCUCCUUGGGAAAUGGAGCAAGGCCCAG
rnacentral:lncRNA from 13 species